UCCUACGGGGAGGCAGCAGUGGGGAAUAUUGCACAAUGGGGGAAACCCUGAUGCAGCCAUGCCGCGUGUGUGAAGAAGGCCUUCGGGUUGUAAAGCACUUUCAGUAGGGAGGAAGGUAGUGUAGUUAACACCUGCAUUAUUUGACGUUACCUACAGAAGAAGCACCGGCUAACUCCGUGCCAGCAGCCGCGGUAAUACGGAGGGUGCGAGCGUUAAUCGGAAUUACUGGGCGUAAAGCGCAUGCAGGCGGCCUGUUAAGUCAGAUGUGAAAGCCCGGGGCUUAACCUCGGAAUUGCAUUUGAAACUGGCAGGCUAGAGUCUUGUAGAGGGGGGUAGGAAUUUCAGGUGUAGCGGUGAAAUGCGUAGAGAUCUGAAGGAAUACCAGUGGCGAAGGCGGCCCCCUGGACAAAGACUGACGCUCAGAUGCGAAAGCGUGGGGAGCAAACAGGAUUAGAUACCCUGGUAG
rnacentral:rRNA from 1 species